GUUAAGUUGCAGGGUAUAGACCCGAAACCCGGUGAUCUAGCCAUGGGCAGGUUGAAGGUUGGGUAACACUAACUGGAGGACCGAACCGACUAAUGUUGAAAAAUUAGCGGAUGACCUGUGGCUGGGGGUGAAAGGCCAAUCAAACCGGGAGAUAGCUGGUUCUCCCCGAAAGCUAUUUAGGUAGCGCCUCGUGAAUUCAUCUCCGGGGGUAGAGCACUGUUUCGGCUAGGGGGCCAUCCCGGCUUACCAACCCGAUGCAAACUGCGAAUACCGGAGAAUGUUAUCACGGGAGACACACGGCGGGUGCUAACGUCCGUCGUGAAGAGGGAAACAACCCAGACCGCCAGCUAAGGUCCCAAAGUCAUGGUUAAGUGGGAAACGAUGUGGGAAGGCCCAGACAGCCAGGAUGUUGGCUUAGAAGCAGCCAUCAUUUAAAGAAAGCGUAAUAGCUCACUGGUCGAGUCGGCCUGCGCGGAAGAUGUAACGGGGCUAAACCAUGCACCGAAGCUGCGGCAGCGACGCUGAUGCGUUGUUGGGUAGGGGAGCGUUCUGUAAGCCUG
rnacentral:rRNA from 1 species